CAGAAGAUAGUUUAAAGAGAUAAAAAUUUCGGUUUUGGGGACCGGAGAUGGGGGGGGGCCCCCUCUUUUGA
rnacentral:tRNA from 2 species